UACAGAGUAAGAUUGUGUGCGUUAAGUGUCAUACGAACGGGGAGUUGUCGUAUGAACGAAAAGAAUUUCUUGCGGUACGCAGUCUGCAUCCCGCUGUU
rnacentral:ncRNA from 2 species